UGAUCAGGGAGUCUAUAUUUGCCUUCUCUAU
rnacentral:piRNA from 1 species